rnacentral:rRNA from 1 species
UACGUAGGGUGCGAGCGUUGUCCGGAAUUAUUGGGCGUAAAGAGCUCGUAGGCGGUGUGUCACGUCGGCCGUGAAAACCUGGGGCUUAACUCUGGGCGUGCGGUCGAUACGGGCAUCACUAGAGUUCGGCAGGGGAGACUGGAAUUCCUGGUGUAGCGGUGAAAUGCGCAGAUAUCAGGAGGAACACCGGUGGCGAAGGCGGGUCUCUGGGCCGAUACUGACGCUGAGGAACGAAAGCCAGGGUAGCGAACGGG